GUAUCUCCGCUCCAUAGCGUAUAUUAAAGUCUGUUGCAGUUAAAAAGCUCGUAGUUGAAUUUCGGGAUCAAUAUAUCUGUCGUGCCUUCGGUACGUACGGGUAUAAUUGGUUUCUACCUUCUGAUGAACCUUGAUGCCAUUAAUUUGGUGUCUUGGGGACUCAGGACUGUUACCUUGAAAAAAUUAGAGUGUUUAAAGCAGGCAUACGCUUGAAUACAUUAGCAUGGAAUAAUGAAAUAGGACGUUCGAUUCUAUUUUGUUGGUUUCUAGGAUCGAUGUAAUGAUUAAUAGGGAUAGUUGGGGGCAUUAGUAUUCAAUUGUCAGAGGUGAAAUUCUUGGAUUUAUUGAAGACUAACUACUGCGAAAGCAUUUGCCAAGGAUGUUUUCAUUAAUCAAGAACGAAAGUUAGGGGAUCGAAGACGAUCAGAUACCGUCGUAGUCUUAACCAUAAACUAUGCCGACUAGGGAUCGGAUGAUGUUAAUUUUUUAAUGACUCAUUCGGCACCUUACGGGAAACA
rnacentral:rRNA from 1 species